ensembl:lncRNA
UUUCUUUUCAUUUUUUCAGGGUUUCAUGGCUUUUUAUGCUGAUGUGUGUUUGUUUUCUUCCACAAGACGGUUACAGACAUGUGCAUGGAUACUACCUGUUUGGGGGGCCACUAACUUCCAACCACUUUAACCCUGGAAAGUUUCUGGAGGCUAACUUUGACAACAAUUUAGAAUAUUUGAGACAACUAUAUAAAAACGGAAAUAAUGCCAGGCCUACUCGGAGUCUCAUCGAAGGGGUGCAGCAAGGUCAUCCAGGCUCUGUAAAUAAGAGGGAUAAGCCUUUGGUUUCCCAAAAGGAGAGGGGUGGUGCUUGGAGAUCACAUGGAGCCAGUUGUCAAGAUGAAUGUCCCUCCUUUGACCCAGUUCACUCCACCAAAAACCUCAUGUCCACCAGAGAAAACCAAGAAUUUACUCCGACCCCACUAAAACAAGCAGCAGCUGUGAGACCUUAUCCCAAUGGUAAAGAAAAUGGUGGCCUUUCAAGGGGCAAUAGAGAGACUUUAAGUUUCUCCAACAAACAAUUUGUCCAAUCAAACUAUAAGCAACCAGGGCGCACUCCGCUUACUUUGGAUUCAUUCCCAGGAAAAGAUUUAAGUGGUCGCAGGAUUGCUCCAAACUCUCCCAAGAGCCUUUCUCAAGGUUUCAACCACUUUUCACGGAAGAAAGUCCCUGUGCGUCCCCUCAACGGUAAUGGGAAUGUCCUGAAGUCAAAGUACAGGUCGAACAGAAAAUAUUUAUCAAAACGGUACAAAACACCAUCAGCUAGCUUUGACAAAGGCCUCCAAAGAGGAAUCCAAACUGGCCUCCCCCCUCAAAAGCCACAAUUUCUGAGCGCGUAUGUACCAAGAAGUCAGCCCAACGUCAAACACUUGAAGAAACCAGCCCCGUUGCUUCAGUCCUUCCAAGCUAACGGCAGCAGAAGAGCAAAGGGCAUACACCAUCCUCCCAUGCUCAAUCAAGGAGUGUCUAGUGGUUUUGUUGUGAUUUCCAACAACCGUUUCCCACAAAGCACAAGAGGCCACAUAACUGUUCAGUAUAAACCUCCGACGCUUCUGGAUAAUCCUCAUUUGGUGAUGAAAGUGCCAAACUCUCGCCACUCCUCUACUACAGAGUGCAAGUACCUGAAUUUUCAGAAAGUUGACGCUAUGACCCCUCAGAAGGAUGACAUCAACUUAGACCUCCAUAACCAAAACCUGGUCUCUGACCUUCAGGAGUCCAAUAUAAGUGUUACCAAACCAAGAGAAACCAAUUUAAAGCAGAAAGUAAUGCCUUCUAAUCAAUCAGAAAAUCAACUGAAAUCCUUUUCCGCUCAGGACCGAUUUCUUCUCAUAAAUGGAGGGUAUGAGGACGCAUUGAAAGCUGGUCUUUUAAAGCCUCUCAGCCAACCUGACUUUCCAAUUCUCUCAAGCUUGUUGAAUGAAGAACCAGCAAAGCUGGAGCCCUGGCCCUCACUUUUGGUGCCUCAACCCAAAGAUUCCAACUGUGUCGUUUGGAAAGACACACAAAGAUCCCCUUCCCAGAAGUCCCAAAGGUUGUCACAGCAAUCUGAAAACACAUAUCUUGCCUCCAAAAACCGCUCUGCUAGAGGUACCACCUCUGUUUCAAAGAUCUGCUUCACACCAAAUCUGUGGGUUCAAGGCAAAGUUGCUAAAUUAGCCACAAGGCGACGUGCAUGAUGGCCUAAAAUCUACAAGGAAAAAAAGAACUUUACUAAGGAGAUCCAGCUGCUAUAUUGAGAUUAACGGGUAAGGAACCACGUCAUUUAGGUGGUUGUGAUUAUCAACUUGAACUUUUUAAAAUGCUUUUGUCUUGACAGACCUGUUUCCAGCUGCAAUUCAAGCUGCGCUAUCCUCUCAAUCAUAGUAAAACCCUGAACUAUUCUAGUUUUGCUUGUCAUGCUUUUCACAAGAAUUUCUUCAUGUGAAUUAAAAUAUUUUAACUGCAAAUUCCAUAAACUUCUUUUUGUUGAAAAUUUAAAACCGUGGUUUUAAGAUUUGCCUGCAAAAAAAGAACACCCUGGAAUAAAGAGCUUUUCAGGAAUAGACCUAUUACUUAGUCAAAAGUAGUUUGGAUUCAAAUUAGGGUACAAUUGUCUGUUACUCUAUAAUGGUGUUUUCUUAACUUAAGCUUCUUUUGCACUUAUGUCUGUGGCACAUAUUAUAGAAGCCUGGCUAUAAUAUAUUUGAAUACUCUAUCUAGUUUAAAAAAACAAUAGUAUUUAAGAAUAUUAGUUUAAAGCUAAGACAGGUUGUUUAUUUUACCACAAAAAUUGUAUAGCUCUUUAAAGCUUUUGGAGAUGGUAUGCUCCAGUCUUGGGGGUGGAUAACAAAGAUUACCUGAAAACUUGAGGCUAAAAUUCACUGUGCUCCCCCAACUUCUUUUUUUUUUUUUUGCCAUGUAGAAAAAUAACGAGGCUAUAUAUGCAAUGCGGUAAUUUAAAGUUUUGUAAAAUGUUAAACUUGCCUUUAAAAAAACCCAACAAAAAGCAAAUACAAUGUUUAACCUCUUAAGCCUGGUGUCAACAUACUUGGACAUCACAUUUUGGGUUAUGUCAUCCCAACAGUUAAUUCAAUAUCUUUUCCUUUUCAUUUCCACCAAAACUCUGCUAUGAAAGCCCAAAUAAAAAACGCAGAUAAAACAAUAUUGGGUUUUCAAGAGGUUAAAGUUGGCACGAUGUAAAUGUACAAAUCAGAUGACAAACUUAAUGUAAAUAUAGGUUUCCCCCAAAAAAAUGUGCACACGAAAACUUCGACUCAUGGAUAUUUGAAGUUUGGAAUCCUGUUUGCAAGCAGCAUCUCCAAGCUCCAAGUACAAGAAAACAUCUAAGACACUUCACAUUUAUUAAAAAGUCUAAAGGA